UACGUAGGGUGCAAGCGUUGUCCGGAAUUAUUGGGCGUAAAGAGCUCGUAGGCGGUCUGUCGCGUCGGACGUGAAAAUCCAGGGCUCAACCCUGGACCUGCGUUCGAUACGGGCAGACUAGAGUUCGGUAGGGGAGACUGGAAUUCCUGGUGUAGCGGUGAAAUGCGCAGAUAUCAGGAGGAACACCGGUGGCGAAGGCGGGUCUCUGGGCAGUAACUGACGCUGAGGAGCGAAAGCGUGGGGAGCGAACAGG
rnacentral:rRNA from 1 species